rnacentral:rRNA from 1 species
UUAAUGUUUGAUGUUCUAACGUUGGCCCCUUACCGGGGUUGCGGACAGUGUCUGGUGGGUAGUUUGACUGGGGCGGUCUCCUCCCAAAGCGUAACGGAGGAGCACGAAGGUUAGCUAAUCCUGGUCGGACAUCAGGAGGUUAGUGCAAUGGCAUAAGCUAGCUUGACUGCGAGCGUGACGGCGCGAGCAGGUGCGAAAGCAGGUCAUAGUGAUCCGGUGGUUCUGAAUGGAAGGGCCAUCGCUCAACGGAUAAAAGGUACUCCGGGGAUAACAGGCUGAUACCGCCCAAGAGUUCAUAUCGACGGCGGUGUUUGGCACCUCGAUGUCGGCUCAUCACAUCCUGGGGCUGAAGUAGGUCCCAAGGGUAUGGCUGUUCGCCAUUUAAAGUGGUACGCGAGCUGGGUUUAGAACGUCGUGAGACAGUUCGGUCCCUAUCUGCCGUGGGCGCUGGAGAAUUGAGGGGGGCUGCUCCUAGUACGAGAGGACCGGAGUGGACGCAUCACUGGUGUU